ensembl:lncRNA
UGCCAUUCUCCAUGUUCUGAUCGUGUAAAAAGCCCCACCUCUCUGAGAUUCUUUGGGAUGUGAAGUUCAGUGACAGCACCGGCUGCGAUGAGCACAUUUCUCAAGCUCGUCUCCAGAGCGCAAGAGCAAUGCGCGGCAGAUGCCUUUAUAUUUGCUCUCAUGUCUCGCGCGGUUCACUCAGAGUGAUUCAAUAGAGCACGACAGCUUCAGUUCAGUGUCAGUCGCAGAGCUGCAUCGCUAAAGCUUGCACUUGGAAUAUCUCACAAAAGAGCAGAAGCGCGACGCGUCAGCGGAGGAGCCGCGACACACGCCGCUAUCGCGUGCUGCGUGUAAGGGAUUGACUGACGCUGCAGAAGGUGAGCUGAAAACAGCUAGAAAACCCGAUUCUCCUGAGCUCUGGAAAAGACGAACACCUCCACUCACUGGUAUCUAAAGAAUGGAAAAGAGUCUUCUGCCUGGACAAAACGACAUUGUGAUGGCCACCCCACCGAGUUCAUUCCAGCAGGAGCCGCUCACGCCUCCAAGAUCCUCUCUUAAGCCCAACCAAGUUGGGCAGGUCAUCCUCUACGGGGUGCCUAUUGUCUCGCUGGUGAUUGACAAUCAAGAGCGCUUAUGCCUGGCUCAGAUAUCCAACACCCUAUUAAAGAACUACAGCUACAACGAGAUCCACAAUCGUCGAGUGGCUCUGGGCAUCACCUGCGUGCAGUGCACCCCAGUCCAGCUGGAGAUCCUCCGGCGGGCGGGCGCCAUGCCCAUCUCCUCCCGCCGCUGUGGCAUGAUCACCAAACGUGAGGCAGAGCGACUGUGCAAGUCUUUCCUGGGAGAGAACUCACCACCCAAGCUGCCAGACAACUUCGCAUUCGACGUGAUGCAUGAAUGCGCUUGGGGCUGCCGGGGAAGUUUCAUCCCGGCGCGCUACAACAGCUCCCGGGCCAAAUGCAUCAAGUGCUCCUACUGUAAUAUGUACUUCUCCCCUAACAAAUUCAUCUUCCACUCGCACCGCACACCCGAAGCCAAGUACACGCAGCCAGACGCCGCCAACUUCAACUCCUGGCGUCGGCACCUUAAACUUUCAGACAAAACGGCAGCGGAGGACCUGUUGUUUGCCUGGGAGGAUGUAAAAGCCAUGUUUAACGGAGGAAGUCGCAAGAGGGCGUUUCCAUCCUCUAACAUGGGCUCCGUCAAGGCUGUGAACUCAGUUCUGCCCCACAUGAUUUCUCCAGAACUUGCCCAGAAGAGAGGCAGGUACGAGGACGAUGAUGAGUUGGAGGCCAAUAGCCUCUCGCCCCGAAAACCCCCACGCAGUUACCCGGUCAUCCCGGUCCCGAGCAAAGGUUUCGGGAUGUUGCAGAAGUUCCCAACCACGUCGCUAUUCCCAAGCCCAUACACCUUCCCAGCCUUCGGCUUGUGCCCGCAGAAGAAGGAUGACAGCGAGGCGACCAAUGGACAGAAAAACAGCGGCCUCUCAGGGCUCCUUUGGCCUGGCCGAAAGGACGCUUUUUAUCCUCCCUUCUGCAUGUUUUGGCCCCCGAGGGCAACUGGGGGUAUCCCGGUGCCCACUUACCUCCAACCCCAACCCAAUGCCCUUUCCUCGCUCACAGAGAGCCCAUCUCUCAGACAAGCCUUUUUGGAUCUGUCUGAACAAGGUGAUGUCGGUUCGGGUUUGGAAACGAACCCUAGAUCUGGGCUGUUUGAGAGCGACUGUACACCCGUGACCUCUGACCUCCGCCCCGCCCCGGAGGGCUGGCUAAAACUCCUAGACGCUCCCUCGCUGCAAGCCCGCAAGGCCAGUUACCACUCCGCCUUCCGCCCAGUUGUCAAAGACGCAGAAAGCAUCGCCAAGCUCCACGGCAGCCUGGAGGAUUUCGGCCCGGAGCGGCACCUUUCUCCUGGCACCAGCUGCAGCUACGACAGCGGAGAGAGCGACGAGGAGCAGGAAGUGGACGUGGAGACCAAACAGGACGAGGAACAGGAAGACUUCACCAGCCGAGCGGCACAGACACCCCUGCAAAUGCACGGGCUUCCCGACAACAGCGUGGGGGAACCACAGCAGGCCAAAGAACCGCCCUCCUUCCCAAGUGCUCCCGCCGAGACCUCGGCAGAGGACAAACCCGGCCUCGCUGUCAGUCCACCCACCAUCCUCAAAGUCCCCAGCCCCGUUCACGGCUCACUGGAGGAAAGCGGCGCGUACAGAAAUGCUCACAAGAGCAGAGACGAUGGGCUGCCAGCAUAUGCAAGCAAAAACAAAACUACCAUCUCAGAUGACAACAAAGAGCAGAGCAGCUUUUUCAUCCCAGAGACAGAAACGUCGGCACCUGAAUACUGGCGUGAGAAUCCAACAGACCAAAGUCAAGACACAAACUCUCCCGUAUCGCUCAAGAAGGAUGUUGAGAACAUGGAAAAGGAGGAACUCCAGAAAGUUCUCCUUGAACAGAUAGAUUUACGGAGGAGACUGGAGCAGGAGUUUCACGCUCUGAAAGGCAGCUCUCCAUUUCCAGUUUUCCAUAACUUUCAAGACCAAAUGAAGAGAGAACUGGCUUACAGGGAAGAAAUGGUGCAGCAGUUACAGAUGAUUCCCUAUGCAAACAUCAUUAGAAAAGAAAAGGUCGGGACACAUCUAAACAAAAGCUAAAUGAGUUGAAAUCAUCCCCAUGUCUAUGAGGAAUCAUCAAGCACAACGGAAGCAGCCCCGUGACCGGAUCAAACGUUGAACGCUGCCAUUGACAGACCGCCUCAUCGAUGUCCAGCUCUCAAUCAAACCAAAACCGAUACACAGGACAGUUCAAUGCAUCUACCAAUGAUUUAGAGCUCAUUUGACGUAUUCCCUGUACAGUAACCCCACUUUGAUUAUUUAUGAACUUAUUUAAGUUUAUUACCCAUGCAUUCACUGGUUUAUUGAUAAAGCAAACUGUACAAUGAUAUUAGCGAUAGGUUGUAACUGUACAGAGGGAGGUCGUUGCUCUGUAGGCUACUGUGGCCGAUGUCUAAGAGCAAUCUGAAAGCGUGUGAACUUUUUCAUGUUUUGCCUGUUUAAAUACAACAUUGACAUAAACACAAGUUUAAAAAUGUUAUUAUUAACUGUUCAUGCAAAUGUAUUUAAAUAUGUUCUUGUAGUUUCUCUACUAUUUAUGUGGAUAAUUAAAAGUCUAUAAUAUGAAAAAG